GAUGAACGCUGGCGGCGUGCCUAAUACAUGCAAGUCGAGCGAACGGACGAGAAGCUUGCUGCUCUGACGUUAGCGGCGGACGGGUGAGUAACACGUGGAUAACCUACCUAUAAGACUGGGAUAACUUCGGGAAACCGGAGCUAAUACCGGAUAAUAUUUUGAACCGCAUGGUUCAAAAGUGAAAGACGGUGUUGCUGUCACUUAUAGAUGGAUCCGCGCUGCAUUAGAUAGUUGGUAAGUUAACGGCUUACCAAGGCAACGAUGCAUAACCGACGUGAGAGGGUGAUCGCCCACCUUGGAACUGAGACACGGACCAGAGUCCUACGGGAGGCACCAGUAGGGAAUCGUACGCAAUGGGCGAAAGCCUGACGGAGCAACGCCGAGUGAGUGAUGACGGUCUUCGGAUCGUAAAACUGUGUUAUUAGGGAAGAACAUAUGUGUAAGUAACUGUGCACAUCUUGACGGUACCUAAUAAGAAAGCCACGGCUAACUACGUG
rnacentral:rRNA from 1 species